rnacentral:rRNA from 1 species
UACGAAGGGGGCUAGCGUUGCUCGGAAUCACUGGGCGUAAAGCGCACGUAGGCGGCUUUCUAAGUCAGGGGUGAAAUCCUGGAGCUCAACUCCAGAACUGCCUUUGAUACUGGAGAGCUGAGUCCGGAAGAGGUGAGUGGAACUCCGAGUGUAGAGGUGAAAAUUCGUAGAUAUUCGGAAGAACACCAGUGGCGAAGGCGGCUCACUGGUCCGGUACUGACGCUGAGGUGCGAAAGCGUGGGGA